UUAAGCGACUAAGCGUACACGGUGGAUGCCCUGGCAGUCAGAGGCGAUGAAGGACGUGCUAAUCUGCGAAAAGCGUCGGUAAGGUGAUAUGAACCGUUAUAGCCGGCGAUGUCCGAAUGGGGAAACCCAGUGCAAUUCGUUGCACUAUCGUUAACUGAAUACAUAGGUUAACGAGGCGAACCGGGGGAACUGAAACAUCUAAGUACCCCGAGGAAAAGAAAUCAACCGAGAUUCCCCCAGUAGCGGCGAGCGAACGGGGAGCAGCCCAGAGUCUGAAUCAGCUUGUGUGUUAGUGGAACGGUCUGGAAAGUCCGACGGUACAGGGUGAUAGUCCCGUACACCAAAAUGCACAGGCUGUGAACUCGAAGAGUAGGGCGGGACACGUGGUAUCCUGUCUGAAUAUGGGGGGACCAUCCUCCAAGGCUAAAUACUCCUGACUGACCGAUAGUGAACCAGUACCGUGAGGGAAAGGCGAAAAGAACCCCGGCGAGGGGAGUGAAAAAGAACCUGAAACCGUGUACGUACAAGCAGUGGGAGCACCUUUAGGGUGUGACUGCGUACCUUUUGUAUAAUGGGUCAGCGACUUAUAUUCUGUAGCAAGGUUAACCGUAUAGGGGAGCCGCAGGGAAACCGAGUCUUAACUGGGCGUUAAGUUGCAGGGUAUAGACCCGAAACCCGGUGAUCUAGCCAUGGGCAGGUUGAAGGUUGGGUAACACUAACUGGAGGACCGAACCGACUAAUGUUGAAAAAUUAGCGGAUGACUUGUGGCUGGGGGUGAAAGGCCAAUCAAACCGGGAGAUAGCUGGUUCUCCCCGAAAGCUAUUUAGGUAGCGCCUCGUGAACUCAUCUUCGGGGGUAGAGCACUGUUUCGGCUAGGGGGUCAUCCCGACUUACCAACCCGAUGCAAACUACGAAUACCGAAGAAUGUUAUCACGGGAGACACACGGCGGGUGCUAACGUCCGUCGUGAAGAGGGAAACAACCCAGACCGCCAGCUAAGGUCCCAAAGUCAUGGUUAAGUGGGAAACGAUGUGGGAAGGCACAGACAGCCAGGAUGUUGGCUUAGAAGCAGCCAUCAUUUAAAGAAAGCGUAAUAGCUCACUGGUCGAGUCGGCCUGCGCGGAAGAUGUAACGGGGCUAAACCAUGCACCGAAGCUGCGGCAGCGACGCUUAUGCGUUGUUGGGUAGGGGAGCGUUCUGUAAGCCUGCGAAGGUGACCUGUGAGGGUUGCUGGAGGUAUCAGAAGUGCGAAUGCUGACAUAAGUAACGAUAAAGCGGGUGAAAAGCCCGCUCGCCGGAAGACCAAGGGUUCCUGUCCAACGUUAAUCGGGGCAGGGUGAGUCGACCCCUAAGGCGAGGCCGAAAGGCGUAGUCGAUGGGAAACAGGUUAAUAUUCCUGUACUUGGUGUUACUGCGAAGGGGGGACGGAGAAGGCUAUGUUAGCCGGGCGACGGUUGUCCCGGUUUAAGCAUGUAGGCUGGUUAUCCAGGCAAAUCCGGAUAAUCAAGGCUGAGGUGUGAUGACGAGGCACUACGGUGCUGAAGUAACAAAUGCCCUGCUUCCAGGAAAAGCCUCUAAGCAUCAGGUAACAUCAAAUCGUACCCCAAACCGACACAGGUGGUCAGGUAGAGAAUACCAAGGCGCUUGAGAGAACUCGGGUGAAGGAACUAGGCAAAAUGGUGCCGUAACUUCGGGAGAAGGCACGCUGGUGUGUAGGUGAAGUCCCUGCGGAUGGAGCUGAGACCAGUCGAAGAUACCAGCUGGCUGCAACUGUUUAUUAAAAACACAGCACUGUGCAAACACGAAAGUGGACGUAUACGGUGUGACGCCUGCCCGGUGCCGGAAGGUUAAUUGAUGGGGUUAUCCGUAAGGAGAAGCUCUUGAUCGAAGCCCCGGUAAACGGCGGCCGUAACUAUAACGGUCCUAAGGUAGCGAAAUUCCUUGUCGGGUAAGUUCCGACCUGCACGAAUGGCGUAAUGAUGGCCAGGCUGUCUCCACCCGAGACUCAGUGAAAUUGAACUCGCUGUGAAGAUGCAGUGUACCCGCGGCAAGACGGAAAGACCCCGUGAACCUUUACUAUAGCUUGACACUGAACAUUGAGCCUUGAUGUGUAGGAUAGGUGGGAGGCUUUGAAGCGUGGACGCCAGUCUGCGUGGAGCCAACCUUGAAAUACCACCCUUUAAUGUUUGAUGUUCUAACGUUGGCCCCUUACCGGGGUUGCGGACAGUGUCUGGUGGGUAGUUUGACUGGGGCGGUCUCCUCCCAAAGCGUAACGGAGGAGCACGAAGGUUAGCUAAUCCUGGUCGGACAUCAGGAGGUUAGUGCAAUGGCAUAAGCUAGCUUGACUGCGAGCGUGACGGCGCGAGCAGGUGCGAAAGCAGGUCAUAGUGAUCCGGUGGUUCUGAAUGGAAGGGCCAUCGCUCAACGGAUAAAAGGUACUCCGGGGAUAACAGGCUGAUACCGCCCAAGAGUUCAUAUCGACGGCGGUGUUUGGCACCUCGAUGUCGGCUCAUCACAUCCUGGGGCUGAAGUAGGUCCCAAGGGUAUGGCUGUUCGCCAUUUAAAGUGGUACGCGAGCUGGGUUUAGAACGUCGUGAGACAGUUCGGUCCCUAUCUGCCGUGGGCGCUGGAGAAUUGAGGGGGGCUGCUCCUAGUACGAGAGGACCGGAGUGGACGCAUCACUGGUGUUCGGGUUGUCAUGCCAAUGGCACUGCCCGGUAGCUAAAUGCGGAAGAGAUAAGUGCUGAAAGCAUCUAAGCACGAAACUUGCCCCGAGAUGAGUUCUCCCUGAGACUUUAAGUCUCCUGAAGGAACGUUAAAGACGAUGACGUUGAUAGGCCGGGUGUGUAAGCGCAGCGAUGCGUUGAGCUAACCGGUACUAAUGAACCGUGAGGCUUAACCUU
rnacentral:rRNA from 1 species